AAAGUCGUAACAAGGUUUCCGUAGGUGAACCUGCGNAAGGAUCAUU
rnacentral:rRNA from 1 species